AGAUUCAUUUUCUGCUCAGACACCGUUGCUUGCAAAAUUCCACCCAGAAGAUAAGGGAGGGAGUAUCGCUGCAGCGUCCUGCUCUGUGCCUGGUUAUAUUACUGGAUCCUUGUGUUGCAGCCCUAAGAUAGAAGGAUUGUCUCCAUUUCACAGAUGAGAGAGAACUGAUGCGCAGGAGGCUGAAAUUGUCUGAAGUCACACAGCAGCCUCCUCUUAAACAUGACAAAGAAUCCAAGGACUUGUGCUGGGGCUGUCAGCUGCUAUUCUGGUGCCCUGGGGACGAAGAAGGGAUCUGGAGGGAAGACUGUCACCCUCUUGCGAAUGUUUCCAAGAAGCAGCUCAGCAUGGGAGAGAAAAGGGGAGAUCCCAGUUCCAGGAACACCUGGCCAGUGUUUCACCUGUUUAUCGGAGUUGACAGGACCAGCCAGCCCUUUCCCACCUCUCCCCAUCAUGAUGGAUGGGAGCCUGGCCUUUGAGAAAGCACAGAACGUGGCACGUUGGAGGAAAUCAGUAAGUGUUUGCUAAAGGUCCAACAAUGAAACAGAACAGAUAUAUCCAGUGCUAUGCCGCGUCAAAAGAGUAUGAGAGGUAUUGUGGUGAUGCUUUUGAAUGCUAAUCAGAAUAAGGAGGGUGACUAGUCCAUAGUUAUAUAGAAUAUAGGAUAUACAGAAUAUACCUUUUUCUGUAACGGGAUGUGUCACUUAACUUUGUUCCUUAAAGCUCCAGAAGCCCAAGGUCACCCACAAUGAUUCAAGUAUUAUCAAUGUUGAGAGCCUGUAAAAGCAUCAAGUAUAUUAUAGUUUCCAAAAAAUUGUGAAUUAGACUGAAAACCAGCAUUUAAAAAAUAAAGUGAUGUUGACUUAAACACUGGUUUUAUAUACAUGCCGCAUAUGAGCUGUGGAGGCCGCUCACAUGCCAGCGUACUGGUUCAUCUGCAAUGGGCAGGCGGGCCAUACCCCACUGGGGAGAAAUCUUAUGGGCUUCAGAAAUGUCUAAUGAAAUAAGAUUUUUAACUAGUUCAAAAUCGGAGUUCAGAAACAGUUCAGUUAAUAUUUAAGUGUCGAGUUAAGAGAGGAGGUUGAACAAAAUUCAUUUUGAAGCUUUCACAGAGUUUUUAAAAAGCAAAACUUUAGACUUAAAAUGGACUGUUUUAUUAUAUGCAAUGCACGUGAAUAUUAAAUGUAUGUUAAGUUUUUCAUUUAGCAGAUUUCUCCCCAGACUUUUAAAACCACCACCAAAAAAUAUUUACAUAUUCUCUCCUCUCCCCCAAAGCAUCCCUCCCGUACACAAAUACCCUUAUUUUGAGACCGUGUUGCUCUAGAUUAAACCAGUUCUUCCAAGAGCAGCCCGUAGGAUUCUGCUCCAUCCAGAGCAAGGCCCUUGGCUAAAGUCACUGCCUCUGCUUGACUGAGCCGGGCUGGGAAUCUCAUUAUGGAAGCUUUCCACCUCCUUCCCAAGCCAGCCCUCUAGCGGAGGCCAAGAUUGCGUCAUCGGUCCUGGGCCUCAUCCCUCCUUGCCUGAGGCCUGCUCACCUAAUGUGUUUCAGGAGCAUUCCAGCAGCCAGGCCUUCAGUUGCUCCCCGAUCCCAGAUGGGGAAAACCUUGUGCGGCACAUUUGCCUCAGGAAGACUGCACUGGGCUCCCCGGCGCCCCUAGGACAGCGUCCCUUCACGUCGGAGAGACUGGGUGUGGGCCGUGAGGUUUAGGAGGCUUUAGGAGAAGGAAGAUCCUCUCUCAGGAGUGAAAUGAUCUUAUCUGAGAGGAUGGAAGUGGUGAGGGCAUCAGCAUGGGUCCUGGGCUGCGGCUGUGCCUCUUCCUCCCCAUGCUGACACGUGCUUGCCCACAAGCGCCCCGGGCCUCUACAUCUCUUGGUAGUUUAAAGCUCUAUUUUAGUCUCAACUAGCAGUUUCUCUCACUGGUAGAUCUAAGUUCUAAGACUAUUCAAUGGGUUCUGUUUCUUUUUUUAAGAAUUAAAAAAACUGUUCCAGUUAAUUCACGGUCACUAUGAAAAAAAUAGGCAGGACAUGUAAAUAAAAGAUUAAAAUAUAUACAAAUCAAAGAAGGAAGUACACCCAGGCCAGUUAUCAGGCAAGCUUGCCAGACAUCAAUCCAGCAAGAAAACGAUAGUGUGCUUUGAAAAUGCCAAAUCCGGCCGGGCGGGCGGCUCCCGCCUGUGAUCCCGGCACUUUGGGAGGCCGAGGCGGGCGGAUCACGAGGUCAGGAGAUCGAGACCAUCCUGGCUAACACGGUGAAACCCCGUCUCUACUAAAAAUACAAAAAAUUAGCCGGGCGUGGUGGCGGGCGCCUGUAGUCCCAGCUACUUGGGAGGCUGAGGCAGGAGAAUGGCGUGAACCCGGGAGGCGGAGCUUGCAGUGAGCCGAGAUGGCACCACUGCACUCCAGCCUGGGCAACAGAGCAAGACUCUGUCUCAAAAAAAAAAAAAAAAAAAAAGAAAAAGAAAAGAAAAUGCCAAAUCCGGCCAGGUGCGGUGGCUCAUGCCUGUAAUCCCAGCAUUUUGGGAGGCCAAGGCGGGUGGAUCACCAGAAGUCAGGAGUUCAAGACCAGCUUGACCAACAUGGAGAAACCCCGUCUCUACUAAAAAUACAAAAUUAGCUGGGCAUGGUGACGCAUGCCUGUAAUCCCAGCCACUCGGGAGCCUGAGGCAGGAGAAUCACUUAAACCCAGGAGGCAGAGGUUACUGUGAGCCAAGAUCGUCCCAUUGCACUCCAGCCUGGGCAACAAAAGUGAGACUCUGUCUCAAAAAAAAAAAAGAAAAAAGAAAGAAAAAAAGAAAAUGCCAAAUCCAUUACUUCUUUGGGAACCUCAGGUGUAACCGCUGGUGUGCUGUGGAUGACACAGCAUCACUGGGAUCUGGUGCCUGGUAUGAGCUGUGUGAAGGAGUAGGAGUGUGCUCACCCAUCCGCAGGGCCACCGUUGGUCACUGUCCUACAUUUUCC
rnacentral:lncRNA from 1 species